rnacentral:rRNA from 1 species
CGGGUAGAGUAAUGCGUGACCAACCUGCCCCAUGCUCCAGAAUAGCUCUUGGAAACGGGUGGUAAUGCUGGAUGCUCCAACUUGACGCAUGUCUUGUUGGGAAAGUGUUUAGUGGCAUGGGAUGGGGUCGCGUCCUGUCAGCUUGUAGGCGGGGUAAUGGCCCACCUAGGCUUCGACGGGUAGCCGGCCUGAGAGGGCGGACGGCCACAUUGGGACUGAGAUACGGCCCAGACUCCUACGGGAGGCAGCAGAG